AAAGUACUCCCUCCAUCCCAAAGUUCUUGUCUUAGAUUUGUCUAGAUACGGAUGUAUCAAGUCACAUUUUAGUAUUAGAUACAUCUGUAUCUAGACAAAUCUAAGACAAGAAAUUUGGGACAGAGGGAGUAGUUG
rnacentral:pre_miRNA from 1 species